rnacentral:tRNA from 1 species
GGAGUUGUGGCUCAGUGGUAGAGUGCUUGCCUAGAAUGUGUGAGGCACUGGGUUCAAAAUCCAGCACCA